UGGGGAAUAUUGCACAAUGGGCGAAAGCCUGAUGCAGCGACGCCGCGUGAGGGAUGACGGCCUUCGGGUUGUAAACCUCUUUCAGCUCCGACGAAGGGUGACUGACGGUAGGAGCAGAAGAAGCGCCGGCCAACUACGUGCCAGCAGCCGCGGUAAGACGCAGGGCGCAAGCGUUGUCCGGAGUUAUUGGGCGUAAAGAGCACGUAGCGGGCUUGUCGCGUCGGCUGUCCAAACCCGCGGCUCAACCGUGUGGUCUGCAGUCGAUACGGGCAGGCUAGAGUUCGGUAGGGGAGGCUGGAAUUCCUGGUGUAGCGGUGAAAUGCGCAGAUAUCAGGAGGAACACCGGUGGCGAAGGCGGGUCUCUGGGCCGAUACUGACGCUGAGGAGCGAAAGCGUGGGGAGCGAACAGG
rnacentral:rRNA from 1 species